UGGGGAAUAUUGGACAAUGGGCGCAAGCCUGAUCCAGCCAUGCCGCGUGAGUGAUGAAGGCCCUAGGGUUGUAAAGCUCUUUCACCGGUGAAGAUAAUGACGGUAACCGGAGAAGAAGCCCCGGCUAACUUCGUGCCAGCAGCCGCGGUAAUACGAAGGGGGCUAGCGUUGUUCGGAUUUACUGGGCGUAAAGCGCACGUAGGCGGACUUUUAAGUCAGGGGUGAAAUCCCGGGGCUCAACCCCGGAACUGCCUUUGCUACUGGAAGUCUUGAGUAUGGUAGAGGUGAGUGGAAUUCCGGGUGUAGAGGUGAAAUUCGUAGAUAUUCGGAGGAACACCAGUGGCGAAGGCGGAUCACUGGACCAUUACUGACGCUGAGGAGCGAAAGCGUGGGGAGCAAACAGG
rnacentral:rRNA from 1 species